rnacentral:rRNA from 1 species
UACAGAGGUCUCAAGCGUUGUUCGGAUUCAUUGGGCGUAAAGGGUGUGUAGGUGGCGCGCUAAGUCGGGUGUGAAAUUUCGGAGCUUAACUCCGAAACUGCAUUCGAUACUGCCGUGCUUGAGGACUGGAGAGGAGACUGGAAUUUACGGUGUAGCGGUGAAAUGCGUAGAUAUCGUAAGGAAGACCAGUGGCGAAGGCGAGUCUCUGGACAGUUACCGACGCUGAGGCACGAAGGUCAGGGGAGCAAACGGG